rnacentral:rRNA from 1 species
GAAUUCGCCCUUAGAGUUUGAUUCUGGCUCAGGAUGAACGCUGGCGGCGUGCUUAACACAUGCAAGUCGAACGGGCGCACAGAGGGAAACGGUAUUCGUACUGAAUCCGCUGUGAGCUAGUGGCGGACGGGUGAGUAACACGUGAGUAAUCUGCCUCAAGCAGUGGAAUAACAACGGGAAACCGUUGCUAAUACCGCAUAGAGUCACUUCUUGGCAUCGAGAAGAGAUAAAAGGGAGUAAUCCCGGCCUGAGAUGAGCUCGCGUCCGAUUAGGUAGUUGGUGAGGUAAUGGCUCACCAAGCCCGCGAUCGGUAGCCGGACUGAGAGGUUGAUCGGCCACAUUGGGACUGAGACACGGCCCAGACUCCUACGGGAGGCAGCAGUGGGGAAUAUUGGGCAAUGGGGGAAACCCUGACCCAGCGACGCCGCGUGAAGGAUGAAGGCCUUCGGGUUGUAAACUUUUUUGGAUGGGGACGAAGAAAUAACGGUACCCAUCGAACAAGCCACGGCUAACUACGUGCCAGCAGCCGCGGUAAUACGUAGGUGGCGAGCGUUAUCCGGAAUUACUGGGUGUAAAGGGCGUGUAGGCGGAUGAACAAGUCUGAUGUGAAAUCUUGCGGCUUAACUGCAAGCUGUCAUUAGAAACUGUAUAUCUUGAGUGUCAGAGGGGAAAGUGGAAUUCCUAGUGGAGCGGUAAAAUGCGUAGAUAUUAGGAGGAACACCGGUGGCGAAGGCGACUUUCUGGCUGACAACUGACGCUGAGGCGCGAAAGCGUGGGGAGCAAACAGAAUUAGAUACCCUGGUAGUCCACGCCGUA